GAAGAACAUCCUGUCGCCAGAGGAAGUGAUGCUACCAAGCUCGCCAGUGAGAGCGAUUGCUGCAGGAUGUUGGCAUAGCAUACUUCUCACAGAUGGUGGGAAUGUCUUCUCCUGGGGGAUGGGGCAAGAGGGACAGCUUGGACUCGGCGAGGACAGGAUUCACGUCUCUGCUCCUCAUCUUCUCGACUAUUCCCAGCUCGCC